UACGAAGGGGGCUAGCGUUGCUCGGAAUCACUGGGCGUAAAGCGCACGUAGGCGGGUUGUUAAGUCAGGGGUGAAAUCCUGGAGCUCAACUCCAGAACUGCCUCUGAUACUGGCAAUCUUUGAGUCCCGGGAGAGGUGGGUGGAACUGCGAGUGUAGAGGUGAAAUUCGUAGAUAUUCGCAAGAACACCAGUGGCGAAGGCGG
rnacentral:rRNA from 1 species